rnacentral:rRNA from 1 species
CCUACGGGAGGCAGCAGUGGGGAAUAUUGCACAAUGGGGGAAACCCUGAUGCAGCGACGCCGCGUGAGUGAAGAAGUAAUUCGUUAUGUAAAGCUCUAUCAGCAGGGAAGAAAAUGACGGUACCUGAGUAAGAAGCCCCGGCUAACUACGUGCCAGCAGCCGCGGUAAUACGUAGGGGGCAAGCGUUAUCCGGAUUGACGGGGUGGAAAGGGAGCGUAGACGGCAGUGCAAGUCUGGAGUGAAGGGCGGGGGCUCAACCCCCGGACUGCUCUGGAAACUGUACGGCUGGAGUGCAGGAGAGGUAAGUGGAAUUCCUAGUGUAGCGGUGAAAUGCGUAGAUAUUAGGAGGAACACCAGUGGCGAAGGCGGCUUACUGGACUGUAACUGACGUUGAGGCUCGAAAGCGUGGGGAGCAAACAGGAUUAGAUACCCUGGUAGUC